rnacentral:rRNA from 1 species
AUGAACGCUGGCGGCGUGCCUAAUACAUGCAAGUCGAGCGAACGGACGAGAAGCUUGCUUCUCUGAUGUUAGCGGCGGACGGGUGAGUAACACGUGGAUAACCUACCUAUAAGACUGGGAUAACUUCGGGAAACCGGAGCUAAUACCGGAUAAUAUUUUGAACCGCAUGGUUCAAAAGUGAAAGACGGUCUUGCUGUCACUUAUAGAUGGAUCCGCGCUGCAUUAGCUAGUUGGUAAGGUAACGGCUUACCAAGGCAACGAUGCAUAGCCGACCUGAGAGGGUGAUCGGCCACACUGGAACUGAGACACGGUCCAGACUCCUACGGGAGGCAGCAGUAGGGAAUCUUCCGCAAUGGGCGAAAGCCUGACGGAGCAACGCCGCGUGAGUGAUGAAGGUCUUCGGACCGUAAAACUCUGUUAUUAGGGAAGAACAUAUGUGUAAGUAACUGUGCGCAUCUUGACGGUACCUAAUCAGAAAGCCACGGCUAACUACGUG